rnacentral:misc_RNA from 1 species
AAGUCGUAACAAGGUAACCGUAGGUGAACCUGCGGUUGGAUCAUUAACAAUGCAAUCAGGCUACCCCUGGUCGAGCUUUUCAAGUUCUCAGGAUCCUGAUAUAUUGCUACCCAUUCUCUGUGCACCGUAAACUGUCUCUGGCGGUCGUAGGAGUAACUAAGAAAUCUUUAGUUGCUUCUCUAGUUCAUUUGCCCGUAAGGAAAGCAGAUGAAUGAAGCCGCCAAACGGGUUUAAAACACUCUUGUAUUUGUUUUAUUUUUAUUAUUUUUCUUUGUCUGAGACAAAAGUGCCAUUUUUGGUAUGGCAAAAAAUGCGCUUUCAUAAACAACUUUUGGCAACGGAUCUCUUGGCUCUC